rnacentral:ribozyme from 13 species
UUUUUUGAUUUUUUUUUUGAUUUUUUUUUGGUUUUUUUUUAUUUGCAAAUUCGAGGAUGACAUCGCAUUUACAAAAGAAUUGGGACGACGGAGAGUCUGUAGAGAAGAUCCAAACGAGUAUCAAAAUCAUUG